UGCCUUUUCCUUGAUUAUGUAAACCAGGGACUUUUGCCAGGAACAUUCCAUUCCCUGAAAAAAUAAGCUACUUCCCCCUAUCGACUGACUUAGUUUCAUUUUGCUUGAGCUUUUCAAGCGGCAGAGCAGUAGUAACUGCCUGUGCCUCUUGGCAGUGAGGCACCUAGAGUUCAGGACCCCAAACGGUGACAAUGACAGCAGACGAGUUGGUUUUCUUUGUCAAUGGCAAAAAGGUAGUGGAGAAAAAUGCAGAUCCAGAAACAACCCUUUUGGCCUACCUGAGAAGAAAGUAAAGAAGAGGAAUUGAGGCCUGCAUGGGUUAAAGGACCUGCCUCUCCAUCGUGUCUUCUGGGAAAAUGCUGGCGGAGCCUGGACUAAAGCCUAGAGCCACAAUCUUAACCCCCCACACAUACUGGAAACUCUCCAGUGGUCUGUUGUCAGGCGAUGCUCAUCCUGACCUCUGUCAACAAACCACUUAUGCUCCUAGAGGCAGGGAUGUCUGGUAGCUUAUUCCAAGCACAUAUCUUAGGACAACAAAGGAAGCGAGCCAGAAAUCAUGGCCUUACCUCCUAGUCACUCACCUCUUAUCAGAUGGUGGCUGGCACUGCUGUACUAAGUCCUGGAGUUUCGACCUGGAGGGAGCAGGUCUGGAGGAAUCUGGUGGCUUUUUCUAGAGGUGAAAUCACUCUGUAGGAUCAGGGGACAGCAUUGGAACUGCAUUUCCAGCCCAUCUACUUGAGAAGUCUGGGGAAAAAAAGGCUCAUUCUCAGAGAUUGCUGACAUCAAUUUUAGUUUUCCAACAUGUUUUGAAGGCCCCAAAGCCUCAGAUGUCCCUUAUCAGAGCAAUUGGCUGGCUUAAGGGUCACCUCUCAAAUGAAAUCUCAAACUGAAAAUCGGCCCAUAAAUGUGAGUCCUUGUGGCUUGUUGCUGCCUGUGCUGAGAGUCACUCCUGGGAGUUCCGGGCAAGAGAGGAGAGUGCAGCCCUGACUUCUGCCUUGGCUUCCAGGAAGAUCCUCAGGCUAGAAGAAGACUUUGCUAGACUUUGGGCUGCAGUCAUUGGUCUUCACGUGCCCCUAGACUUGUCUGACUGCUGAUAAGUGCAUAUAGCCUGACUGGUGACGAGAAUAACUGAAGACACAGCAAGCCCGCCCCAGAUGUGUUCUGAAAGAGGCAGCAGCACGGUGAAGGAGGAGCCCCCACUCUGGAGUCAGAUGACUGUGUGUGGGUCCUAACACCUGAGGAGAGAAUUGCCAAAAGCCAUGGGUCCCAGUGUGGGUUCUGCACCCCUGGCAUCGUCAUGAGCAUGUACACACUGCUCCGGAACCAGCCCGAGCCCACCAUGGAGGAGAUCGAGGAUGCCUUGCAAGGGAACCUGUGCCGCUGCACAGGCUACAGACCCAUCCUCCAGGGCUUCCGGACCUUCGCCAGGGAUGGUGGAUGCUGUGGAGGAAAGGGGAACGACCCAAACUGCUGCAUGAACCAGAAGAAAGACCACACAGUCACCCUCUCGCCAUCUUUAUUCAACCCAGAGGAGUUCAUGCCCCUGGAUCCCACCCAGGAGCCCAUCUUCCCCCCAGAGUUGCUGAGACUGAAAGACGCUCCUCAGAAGCAGCUGCAUUUUGAAGGGGAGCGUGUGACCUGGAUCCAGGCCUCAACCCUGAAGGAGCUGCUGGACCUCAAAGCACAGCAUCCCGAGGCCACGCUGGUGGUGGGGAACAUGGAGAUCGGCAUCGAGAUGAAGUUUAAGAACAAGCUGUUUCCUCUGAUCGUGUGCCCAGCCUGGAUCCCCGAGCUGAACUCAGUGGAGCACGGAGAGGAGGGUAUCUCCUUUGGAGCCUCCUGCCCCCUGAGCUGUGUGGAAAAGACCCUGCUGGAUGCAGUUGCCCAGCUUCCUACCCACAAAACAGAGGUGUUCAGAGGUGUCCUGGAGCAGCUGCGCUGGUUUUCUGGGAAGCAGCUCAAGUCUGUGGCGUCCAUUGGAGGGAACGUCAUCACCGCCAGCCCCAUCUCCGACCUCAAUCCUGUGUUCAUGGCCAGCGGGGCCAAGCUGACCAUGGUGUCUAGAGGCACCAGGAGAACCAUUCGCAUGGAUCACACCUUCUUCCCUGGCUACAGAAAGACUCUGCUGGGUCCGGAGGAGAUUCUGCUUGCUAUCGAGAUCCCCUACAGCAGGGAGGGUGAGUUUUUCUCAUCAUUCAAGCAGUCCUCUGGGAGAGAAGAUUAUGUAGCCAAGGUGACCAGUGGCAUGAGGGUCCUGUUCAAGCCAGGGACCACCCAGAUAGAAGAGCUGGUCCUUUGCUAUGGUGGAAUGGCCGACAGAACCAUCUCAGCCCUCAAGACGACUCGGAAGCAGCUGUCAAAGUUCUGGAAUGAGGAGCUGCUGCAGGACGUGUGUGCAGGCCUGGCGGAGGAGCUGCAACUGGCCCCUGACGCCCCUGGUGGCAUGAUAGAGUUCCGGCGCACCCUCACCCUCAGCUUCUUCUUCAAGUUCUACCUGACGGUGCUUCAGAAGCUGGGCAAAGUGGACUCGGAAGAUAAGUGUGGUAAACUGGAUCCCACCUUUGCCAGUGCCACCUUACUCUUUCAGAAAGACCCUCCCACCAACGUCCAACUCUUCCAAGAGGUGCCCAAGGGUCAGUCUGAGGAGGACAUGGUGGGCCGGCCCCUGCCCCACCUGGGCGCAUCCAUGCAGGCCUGUGGAGAGGCCAUGUACUGUGACGACAUCCCUCGCUAUCAGAAUGAGCUGUCCCUCCGACUGGUCACCAGCACCCGGGCCCACGCCAAGAUCAAGUCCAUCGAUACUUCAGAAGCUCAGAAGGUGCCAGGGUUUGUUUGUUUUCUCUCUGCUGAUGAUGUUUCGGGAAGUAACAAAACUGGAUUUUUUAAUGAUGAAACAGUCUUUGCGAAUGAUGAGGUGACUUGUGUUGGGCACAUCAUUGGUGCUGUGGUCACUGACACCCCAGAACAUGCACAGAGAGCUGCUCAAGCAGUGAAAAUCACCUAUGAAGACCUUCCAGCCAUUAUCACAAUCGAGGAUGCCAUAAAACACAACUCCUUUUAUGGAUCUGAGCUCAAGAUUGAGAAAGGAGACCUCCAGAAGGGCUUUGCAGAAGCAGAUAACAUUGUUUCAGGUGAGUUUUACAUUGGCGGCCAAGAGCACUUCUACCUGGAGACUCACUGUGCCAUCGCUGUCCCGAAAGGGGAGGCAGGGGAGAUGGAGCUCUUUGUGUCUACACAGAACACCACGAAGACCCAAGCCUUUGUUGCAAAAGUGUUGGGGGUUCCAGCAAAUCGAAUUUUGAUCCGAGUGAAGCGACUUGGAGGAGGAUUUGGAGGGAAGGAGAUCCGAAGCACCCUGGUGUCCACGGCAGUUGCCGUGGGUGCAUACAAGACUGGCUGCCCUGUGCGCUGCAUGCUGGAUCGUGACGAGGACAUGCUGAUAACCGGCGGCAGACAUCCUUUCUUGGCCAGAUACAAGGUUGGCUUCAUGAAGACUGGGAGGAUUGUGGCUCUGGAGGUGGAUCACUACAGCAAUGCUGGGAACACCCUUGAUCUCUCUGAGGCUAUAAUGCAACAAACUCUAUUACACAUGGACAACGGCUACAAAAUCCCCAACAUCCGGGGCACUGGGUGGCUGUGCAAGACCAACCUGCCCUCCAACACGGCCUUCCGGGGAUUUGGGCGGCCCCAGGGGAUGCUCAUUGCUGAGCAUUGGAUGAGCGAAAUUGCGGUGACCUGUGGGCUGCCUGCAGAGGAAGUGCGGAGGAAGAACAUGUACAAGGAAGGGGACCUGACACACUUCAACCAGAAGCUCGAGGGGUUCACCUUGACCAGGUGCUGGGAUGAAUGCCUAGCAAGCUCCCAGUAUCACGCCCGGAAGAGUGAGAUUGACAAGUUCAACAAGGAGAAUUGUUGGAAAAAGAGAGGAUUGUGCAUAGUUCCUACCAAGUUUGGAGUAAGCUUCACAGUUCAUUUUCUGAAUCAGGCAGGAGCCCUGAUUCAUGUGUACACAGAUGGCUCUGUGCUGCUGACCCAUGGGGGCACUGAGAUGGGCCAAGGCCUUCACACCAAGAUGGUCCAGGUGGCCAGCAGAGCUCUGAAAAUCCCCACCUCUAAGAUUUACAUCAGCGAGACAAGCACUAAUACUGUGCCCAACACCUCUCCCACGGCCGCCUCCGUCAGCACUGACCUCAACGGGCAGGCCGUCUACGAAGCGUGUCAGACCAUCCUGAAAAGGCUGGAACCCUUCAAGAGAAAGAAUCCUAGUGGCUCCUGGGAAGACUGGGUCAUAGCUGCUUACCAGGAUGCAGUGAGCUUGUCUGCUACUGGGUUUUAUAAAGCACCCGAUGUUGGCUACAGCUUUGAGACAAACUCAGGGAAUCCCUUCAACUACUUCUCGUAUGGGGUGGCUUGCUCUGAAGUGGAAAUUGACUGCUUAACAGGGGAUCAUAAGAAUCUCCGCACAGACAUCGUCAUGGAUGUUGGCUCCAGUCUGAACCCCGCCAUCGAUAUUGGACAGUGGCAACAUAGAAGGAACAUCUCCACCUGCCCUGCGGCAAGUUUUAAUGGGAAAUUAUGCCUACCAUUGAGUGACCCUCUUGGAAUCGCUGACAAGUUCAGAAACGCCUUCAGUGUUAACGCCUUUACUCUGCCCAUGCCAAUGCCUGGCGAAGUUCCAGAUAGGUUAUCCUGGGCUGGGGCUGGAGCCAGGUGGAAGGGGCAUUUGUCCAGGGCCUUGGCCUCUUCACCCUGGAGGAGCUGCAGUAUUCCCCCGAGGGAAGCCUGUACACCCGUGGCCCCAGCACCUACAAGAUCCCUACAUUUGACAGCAUCCCCAUUGAGUUCAGAGUGUCCCUGCUCCGUGACUCCCCCAACAAGAAGGCCAUCUAUGCAUCCAAGGCUGUCGGGGAGCCGCCCCUCUUCCUGGCCGCCUCUGUCUUCUUUGCCAUCAAGGACGCCAUCCGUGCAGCUCGAGCUCAGCACAAAGAUUAUGAUAUGAAGGAACUUUUCCGUCUAGACAGCCCUGCCACCCAGGAGAAGAUCCGCAAUGCCUGUGUGGACAAGUUCACCACCCUGUGUGUCACUGGUGUACCAGAAAACUGUAAAGCCUGGUCUUUGAGGGUCUGAAGAGAAAGCUUGCAACAGAGUCUGCUUAUGCUACACUGGGGCUUCCAUGGAGCACGGAGCAUAAUGCUGCAGAACAUGAAUCUAUAAAACUCACAGGAUGGCAGUGCUGUGAUUCAUCAGGAUGGUGCUUGGAAGAACACUGAAUGCAUUGGAAGAUUUUGAUCAAAAAUAUUAUUUGCAAACAAUAGUCAGCCAAAUCAGAACUGUUAGCCCAAGCAGUUAGUAUGCAAUUAGGGUCAUUCCACGUCUGUCUUAAUCAUGUAUUUGAAGUAGGUUUAGGAAGUAUUUGUGCUAUAUCUUAACUCACCAGAAACCCUGUAUAAACUCAAGUGCUGACAGUGUCUGUCCUUCAAAGAGGAUUCCACAAAUCUCCAGAAGCUUAAACCAAAGUUACUCUAAAUCUGUGUGCUUUUCCUCAAAAGCUUUUCCUAUACACCAAUGUACGCCAUAUGACAACCUCAGAUCCAUACUUACUUUGCAGUGGGGCAGUGGAGUGAGAUUCAAACCCCUACUCACCUUUGGGUCAUAGGAAGAGAACAAAGAAUGAAAUAAAUUCAAGGUUAAUUGGAUCCAAUCUUGCUAAGCUGCAUAGAGUAAGAUUAUUCUCUAACACCAAAAGCCAACCAGCCCAAUUAUUGAGUGCCUACAAUGUGCUAGGUUUCUUUCUCUUCGCCCUCGUGCAUUUCAAAAAAAAGGAUCAGCUUUAAAAAUCUUCAUUUGAACCCAGAGUAAUUUCCACUAGGAAUGCUGCUACCAAAAUCAAGAUCAGCCAGAGCAAAAACAGUCAAGGAGUCGCAUUCUCAUCCAACUGUGUCUCUAACUAUCUGUGUGAUCUUGGACUCUCACUGCCCUUUUUCUGUGCUUCAUUUUACUGCAAAAUGAAAGGAUUCAACUGGCAUAUCUUUAAGGUCUUCUCCAGCUCUAAAAGUGUAUCAAUACAUGACCUGAAAAGUCAUCAUAUAAGAGAUCUGUAGCUACAAAGAUGUGGCUCCCCGACUACGAUGAGAUAUCUGGGCCUAAUGAACUCAGCUUAGGUUCCCCCCAAGUCCCUGAGGUUGGUAAAGAGGACAGGAAAAAGGCAAGUACCUCCUCUCAUUGCUCCAAUAGUGAUUUCAUCACUACAUGGUGCUGGGUGGACAAUGUGACAUUGCCAUGUGCCUUCAAUAAAUAAAACAUCCAGCCUUUUGCCAGACAAGGUCCAUGGUUCUGGCCAUGGAAGGAGGAUAGUGGAAACCAUGCAGCUGAGCCUGGUGCUUGAUGUCAUUCAUACAGUAAAUGAUACUGUCAGCUG